GGGAUGACAUCAAAGAAACUACAUCCAACACAAAUAUGGUCUCCCUCUUUAUCAUAAUUAAAUUAAAUUAUUAUUGGGAACGUUUUUUAAAUUUUUUAUAGGAUUUUUUCGAAAUAUUAAAUUCUUAAAAUUAAUCUACUUUUGAAGUAAAAUCUUUUUCCUUAAUUGUUGUAACUGCAAGUUCAUGGGCUUAUUGGUCUCCUUAAUAAACUGUCUAACCAUUAUAAUUUUCAUUAUUUUAAAACAUAUAUACUCCUCCUUUUCUUUUUCAUAGCUUAAACCUGCGAAUUCUUCCAUCUCCGCCUCGCACGACAACCUCCGCCACACCUCCUCACCACCGCGCGAUCUACCACCAUAAUCCGCAAAAUCUUCAUGUCUGCUAUUCCAGCCAUUGUCCUCCUUCCCAUUCGUCUCUCACUUUGGAAGCAAAGAAAGCAAGAGCUGAAAGAGUUUGACACAGAGAACUUGAAGAGGGAGAAAGACGACAACGGCGGCGAAAGAUUAAAAAAUGGAUGAUUACACCAGAGAAAUGAUGGACCUUAAAACCAUCGUCACCCGUACCCUUGAGAAGAAAGGGGUUCUCGCUAAGAUCUGAACUGGAGAACCCAAAGGCUACACAAGCUAGAUGAUAUGAAGAAUCCAAUGAAGGUUGUACAGGAUCAUAUGAAGAAUACAACGUUGACGAAUAAGAUCCAAAAGUUGUCCAGUUCUGAAAUUGUACAAGUUAAAUGAUUUGGAACCAAAUUGAUCUACUCUUAGUAACAACGAUAUAACUUGGGCAUUUGAUGUUUUUUGCAUUGUCCAACUAUGUCAUUGCCUUUGUAAAAUAAUAGCUAUAUUAUAUUUUGUAAUAUAUUUUGAGCAAUAUUCUAGCAAACAAUACUUUACCAAAUUAAUUAUAUUGUAAUUAGCUUGAUUGGAGAAUAUAACGGAACAGCAUUGUAAAUAUCUUUGUAAUAUAUUUUGAGCUAUAUUCUAGCAAAUAAUACGUUACCAAAUUAA